GUCGACGAUUCACGUGUAGCAGUGAAAUGCGUAGAGAUGUGGAGGAAUACCGAUGGCGAAGGCAGCCCCCUGGGCCAAUACUGACGCUCAUGCACGAAAGCGUGGGGAGCAAACAGGAUUAGAUACCCUGGUAGUCCACGCCCUAAACGAUGUCAACUAGUUGUCGGGUCUUCAUUGACUUGGUAACGUAGCUAACGCGUGAAGUUGACCGCCUGGGGAGUACGGUCGCAAGAUUAAAACUCAAAGGAAUUGACGGGGACCCGCACAAGCGGUGGAUGAUGUGGAUUAAUUCGAUGCAACGCGAAAAACCUUACCUACCCUUGACAUGUAUGGAAUCCUGCUGAGAGGUGGGAGUGCCCGAAAGGGAGCCAUAACACAGGUGCUGCAUGGCUGUCGUCAGCU
rnacentral:rRNA from 1 species